rnacentral:rRNA from 1 species
AUGGGCCAUGACAAUGUGGCAGGACAGUCAUCAACCCAUGGUGCCCGAGUGGUGUCUUUGCAGUUAGAGAGCCAUACUCUUGAUGACACGGGAACCGCGACAAAUGUUUCUGGUCCAAUCAGGACUGAGCUAGGAGUUGGGGCUGUUGACGGAGCUGUGCAAGAAGAAGGAGAGGAUGAGGCUGGUUCUCAACCUAUGGAAUCCUAUUUUGGCAUGAGGUUUGACAGCCUUCAAAUUGCUAAGGAUCACUACAAUAGCUACGCCCUACGGAUGGGUUUCUCUGUCAAGAUGAACACCUCUAGGCGGACACCUCACACCAAUGUAUUGGUAAAACAACAGUUUUGCCGCAACAAGUUCAAGAAGCUCAAAGCUGAUGAUGGAGGAGCUGAGGCUCCUCCUGUCCUGGACCCUAUUCCAGAUCCAAAACCUGUUGACAGUGAUGAGGAAAUGGAAGAUGAACCUCCAAUAUUUGCUGAAGAGGAGGAUGGUCCUAGUAAGAAGAAGAAGAAACGAAAACGCGAGACAAUAAAGCAGACUCAAUGCAAAGCAAAAAAUGUUGGUGAAGCUGAUAGAUGGGCGAUGGGAGGUGACGCACUUUGUUCGUGA